GACGAACGCUGGCGGCGUGCUUAACACAUGCAAGUCGAACGGAAAGGCCCUGCUUUCGUGGGGUGCUCGAGUGGCGAACGGGUGAGUAACACGUGAGUAACCUGCCCUUGACUUUGGGAUAACUUCAGGAAACUGGGGCUAAUCCCGGAUAGGAGCUCCUGCUGCAUGGUGGGGGUUGGAACGUUUCGGCGGUUGGGGAUGGACUCGCGGCUAAUCAGCUUGUUGGUGGGGUAGUGGCUUACCAAGGCUUUGACGGGUAGCCGGCCUGGGAGGGUGACCGGCCUCAUUGGGACUGAGAUACGGCGCAGACUCCUACAGGAGGCAGCAGUGGGAAGUAUUGCACAAUGGGCGGGAGCCUGAUGCAGCAACGCCGCGUGCGGGAUGACGGCCUUCGGGUUGUAAACCGCUGUCGCCUGUGACGAAGCGUUAGUGACGGUAAUGGGUAAAGAAGCACCGGCUAACUACGUG
rnacentral:rRNA from 1 species